AAAACCUGCUUGAUUACAGUGCUUCAUUUUAUGGAAGUACUGCCAUUAUCCUGUUGAAAAAAAAAAUCUUGUGUUGAUCAUUUUCUAUUUUGCCUUCAUGAGGGUAAAAUUGUGAUGGACUAACAUGGACAAUU